rnacentral:rRNA from 1 species
GACGAACGCUGGCGGCGUGCUUAACACAUGCAAGUCGAACGGAAAGGCCCUGCUUGCAGGGUACUCGAGUGGCGAACGGGUGAGUAACACGUGGGUGAUCUGCCCUGCACUUCGGGAUAAGCCUGGGAAACUGGGUCUAAUACCGGAUAGGAGCCAUUUUUAGUGUGAUGGUUGGAAAGUUUUUUCGGUGUAGGAUGAGCUCGCGGCCUAUCAGCUUGUUGGUGGGGUAAUGGCCUACCAAGGCGGCGACGGGUGGCCGGCCUGAGAGGGUGGACGGCCACAUUGGGACUGAGAUACGGCCCAGACUCCUACGGGAGGCAGCAGUGGGGAAUAUUGCACAAUGGGCGCAAGCCUGAUGCAGCGACGCCGCGUGGGGGAUGACGGCCUUCGGGUUGUAAACUCCUUUCGCUAGGGACGAAGCUUUUGUGACGGUACCUAGAUAAGAAGCACCGGCUAACUACGUG